AUUGAACGCUGGCGGCAGGCCUAACACAUGCAAGUCGAGCGGCAGCGGGAAAGUAGCUUGCUACUUUUGCCGGCGAGCGGCGGACGGGUGAGUAAUGCCUGGGAAAUUGCCCAGUCGAGGGGGAUAACAGUUGGAAACGACUGCUAAUACCGCAUACGCCCUACGGGGGAAAGCAGGGGACCUUCGGGCCUUGCGCGAUUGGAUAUGCCCAGGUGGGAUUAGCUAGUUGGGGAGGUGAUGGCUCACCAAGGCGACGAUCCCUAGCUGGUCUGAGAGGAUGAUCAGCCACACUGGAACUGAGACACGGUCCAGACUCCUACGGGAGGCAGCAGUGGGGAAUAUUGCACAAUGGGGGAAACCCUGAUGCAGCCAUGCCGCGUGUGUGAAGAAGGCCUUCGGGUUGUAAAGCACUUUCAGCGAGGAGGAAAGGUUGGUGCCUAAUACGUAUCAACUGUGACGUUACUCGCAGAAGAAGCACCGGCUAACUCCGUGCCAGCCGCCGCCGUAAUAC
rnacentral:rRNA from 1 species